CGCGGACAGUGCCUGGUGGGUAGUUUGACUGGGGCGGUCUCCUCCCAAAGAGUAACGGAGGAGCACGAAGGUUGGCUAAUCCUGGUCGGACAUCAGGAGGUUAGUGCAAUGGCAUAAGCCAGCUUAACUGCGAGACGGACAGGUCGAGCAGGUACGAAAGUAGGUCAUAGUGAUCCGGUGGUUCUGAAUGGAAGGGCCAUCGCUCAACGGAUAAAAGGUACUCCGGGGAUAACAGGCUGAUACCGCCCAAGAGUUCAUAUCGACGGCGGUGUUUGGCACCUCGAUGUCGGCUCAUCACAUCCUGGGGCUGAAGUCGGUCCCAAGGGUAUGGCUGUUCGCCAUUUAAAGUGGUACGCGAGCUGGGUUCAGAACGUCGUGAGACAGUUCGGUCCCUAUCUGCCGUGGGCGUUGGAUGAUUGAAGGGAGUUGCUCCUAGUACGAGAGGACCGGAGUGAACGAACCUCUGGUGUUCGGGUUGUCACGCCAGUGGCACUGCCCGGUAGCUAAGUUCGGAAUCGAUAACCGCUGAAAGCAUCUAAGCGGGAAGCGAGCCCUGAGAUGAGUCAUCCCUGACCCCUUGAGGGUCCUAAAGGGCCGUUGGAGACCACAACGUUGAUAGGUGGGGUGUGUAAGCGUAGCGAUACGUUGAGCUAACCCAUACUAAUUACCCGUGAGGCUUAACCAU
rnacentral:rRNA from 2 species